rnacentral:rRNA from 1 species
UACGUAGGAGGCGAGCGUUGUCCGGAAUUACUGGGCGUAAAGCGAGUGUAGGCGGUGUGGUAAGUCGGAUGUGAAAGCCCCGGGCUCAACCCGGGAAGUGCACUCGAUACUGCCACGCUAGAGUAUCGGAGAGGUUGGUGGAAUUCUCGGUGUAGAGGUGAAAUUCGUAGAUAUCGAGAGGAACACCGGUGGCGAAGGCGGCCAACUGGACGAAUACUGACGCUGAGACUCGAAAGCGUGGGGAGCAAACAGG